CCCCCCCCCCCCCCCCCCCCCCCCCCCCCCCCCCCCCCCCCCCCCCCAAAAGAAAAGGGACCCCCCUUUCUUUUAAUACCCCCAACCCUUUAUUAUUUCCCAUCUUUCUCCCACCUCCCAACUUCGCGGCCGGCUCGAGGGGUCGCCGCGCCCGCAGCCUCCCCCUCCCUCCAUCCACAAACCGGGCCUGGCUUUUCCCAGCCUUUUUUGGGGUGGGGGGUUAACUGCGGAGGGCGGUGGUGGUCUCCUCCGAAAGAGCCACGGAGUGCUGCCCCGCUUUUAGGGCUGCUAAUAAUGUUCUUUCUUAGGCCCCUGUAGUAGUGUUAUUUUUUCAGCGCGUUUCUGCGCUUUGAAGAUGCUCAUAGAAGCUUUGCCUUUUUUCUUUCUUUCUUUUUUUUUUUUCUCCCCCCUCCCUCCUUCUUAAUUGCAGAUGUCUUUAAAAAGGGAAAAAUAAGGCUGUAAGAGCCGGUAUCUGAAUUGCUCUGAGCUUCGGGGAGUGCAAACCUAAUGCGCACCUUCAAAGGCGCUACCAAAAGUUCAGGGAGGGGAAGGAAAAAAAAAAAACAAACCUCAAAUAAAGGAAUUAGAAAAAAAAAGUUGCCCUGAAUUGCCUGGGUUACACUUGUUAUUUCUUCUGGUCUGCAAAGCUGCUUGGUGUGUUGUCCUUCCUCCUGGUACUUGUGCCCCCGAGUUGAAGCAGAUUGCUAGAAUACAUUGUUCCUGGAAAAACGCACCGCACGGCCCCAAAACUCGCCUAAGAACUUCCAGAAAGAUAGAAGUACCCCCCAAACCUCAAUUUCCAUCCUCCCUGCUUCCACAGCUUCUCUAGAGCUCCUGCUUACCGAAAAGGCUGGUUGCAGGGUUGAUCUUAUUCAUUUUCUUAUGUUCUUGCAGGGGCAGAGUAGCUGUGAGGAGGAGGAAAUCAUUCACUUUCUCCCUGGCCAGACCCGGGGCAGUGAGGGGCUCUUCCUUUGGAAAGUUGCAGGAAUCGUGUGUGUUCCUGCCUGGAUAAUUUAGUGUAGUUAAUCAAAUCAAUAAAACCAAAGCAGAACAGAGCUAGGAGAAGGCUUUAUGGGUUUACCUUUCUGGUCUAUUUCAAUUGUUUCCUCACAGUACUUUUUUUUAAUUGUUUUUUUUUUUUGUAAAUUAUUAUUAUUUUUAAUUCUGAGCUGGCAAACACGCUGUAUUUAUCAAUAACAUUUGGCUUUGCA
rnacentral:lncRNA from 12 species